GUUUGCUGAAAAAAAAGAGUCUGUGAGCGUAUCAUCCAAAACGCUAUCCGUUUAGUGCUGCAAAUUGCUUUCCAAAACGAAACCCCUCACUCACUCACAUGAUUUUUUCUGCUUCAUCUACUCUAUCUCUCUCUCCCUGUAAUUUCUUUCUUGGCGCCAAAUUCUUCAGAAUCUCUGUCUCUGUGAGAGAGAGAGAGAGAGAGAGAGAGCAAUAAUAAGAUAGAGUAAUCUCUCUUCUUCCUUCUCCGACUCCUCAAGAUAUCAACGAUGACCUCUCCAAAGUCGAACACCUCCUCUCAAACCCAGACGACGUUGGUUUCACGCCUCAUGAAAAUGGAGCGCCGCUGUGAGAAUCAUAAUGCAGCCGCCGAUGGAAGCCGCUGGUUCCCUUACCUUGACGAGUUCAGUCCCCACAUUUUGGAUGUCAGGAAGGACAAGUUUCGCAAUGUCGUCACCAACCGCACCUAUACCUAUUCCCUCUGCUUGCUCGUUGAAGGUCUCUGUGACUGUGAUUUCGGCAAUGUCUCCGCCACCGCCACUUUUCGCUCUGCCGACGCCCUCGCUUUCCAGUCUGUCCAUGUCGUCUCUUCCGAUUCCAAAAGGUAUAGAGAUAACCGCCAUGUUAGCAUGGUUGCGGAGAAUUAGAAAUGGUUCAACUAUUGGACAUUGAAAUUUGGAGCUCCAUCCAUGAUUAUGAAUGCUUUAAAGUUCUUAAGCCCCGUGGUUAUCGAAUACAGUGCUUUGAAUAAUUACAAUCAGGGGGAUAAGUGAUGAGGCUCUGGAGUUGUCAGAUUUGCAUUGCAGUAUUCCAAUGAAAGGUAUGGUGGACUCUUUCAAUGUUUCAGUUGCUGCUGGCAUCCUCAUGCACCACGCUGUUUGUGACAGAACAUCAUGACUGGUAAUGGCUAUUCUGUGCACUCAGCAGCAGAGUAGAGAAAAUCAGGCUGUCAAUUGUCUGUUGGGAUCAUCAUUGGCUGUUAUGGUGAUUUGAUCUCAGAAGAAAGACAAAUUUUGCUUGCAGAGUUCUCUUUUCGUCAUAGCAAGAGUGCGCUUAGCAUUUCUCACGAAUAUGCCAAGCAAAAGGCAGUUAUGUGCACCAAAGCUGUGAUAAAAAUAUUUCCAGUUUACCAUCUAAGAAAUUCUGCAGAAAAAGACUUCAAAAUAGUUGCAAGGAAUUCAAAAUGAUACUCUUUUAGCCAUCCUGGAGGCGGAAGUAAUUUUCUUGAGAAAUCUUUGUAUGAUGUGACAGCUCAGGUGAGAGAAGGUAAUAUGGGGGCUGGCUUACUGGAAAGGCACAACCUUAGGGACAAGGGUUCUGGUGCAAAGGCCAAGGAUUGCCCAUUUUGGUUAUAAAAUUAUUGGAGAAAUAUAUGUUGCCAAGUGAGUUUUGCAUGUUCUCUUUCUUAUAUUAAACUUCCAUGUUCAGUGUUGUCGUAUGCAUUUACCUCAUCCUAUAGCUCAAAAAAUUGUAAUCAUUCUUCAACAUAAAUUUCAGAGUCCUGUAAUUUAUUGGAAAAGGAAAAGGAUGAUUGAUUUCUUGGUCAUAGAACUCCUUAUGAUAAGGACUUCUAUAUUAGAUGUUGUUUCUAAUCGAAUGUGUUCCAAAACACACUGCUCAAUAAUGUUACCUUCUUUAUAAGGUCUAGGCAGAGAUAGCGCUCUUCGAAUA